UUAUCCGACGCCUCUUGUACGAACCAUGCCUGCGCAACAGCUAUACGGUGUAUAUUUAUAACUGCGAGAAGAUACUCGCCGAUUCAUCUUUACGCGGUAUAUAAUAUCACGCCGUGUCUGAGAAGACGAAAAAUGAAGAGAAAAUAAUAAGAAGAAAACAAGGUGAGAGAAAGAGAAGAAGAAGAUAAAAAAAUUGCUUCGCCAUUCGUUCGUUUGCUCACUCAUAUGACGAUGACGACGACCUUUGUAGGCAAACGCUAGAAGAACCACGUGACACGUAUCUGAAACCGAACAAGCAACAAGUGGCAGUAGAACAAAAAAGUACUGGAUAGCUAAUAAUUCUUUUAAGGACGAAAUGAUGAAGAGGAAAAAUUCAAGCAGUCCGGUUAGCCGGAGAAUGAAACUACCGGCAAUUUUCAAGAAGAAGGGAAGCAAUCCGACAGACUUUCGCAGUGAUCUGGAAAACGAUGUUCGAAAACCCAAAGAUUGGUUGAAAUUCGAAAGAUUGAUUUUCGACCGAAGCCAAUUCUUUUCUUGUACGGUGACGAAAAGUAAAAAAGAAGUAAGACGACGAACGAGAUGUGAUGCAGCGAAGCAUUUACACCUCACUCGAAUCA